UGUUUUAAAAAUAAAAUACAAACAUAAUGAGUGCUUGCCCAUAAGGUUGCUUAAAACAUAUUUUUGCCUUUAAGUUUGAUUAUAACAUUAUGUCAUAUCACUCUAAUAUAUCAAGACUAACGUCACAAAACUGCAUCUACCGUGAUCACAUUUGCGUGUUGUUCGUUGUUCAAAGAGAGAAGACAAAUGCCACACUGCCAUAUUUUUAACAAAGUUUUAAUUUUUAGGUAAUACGAUUUUGCUGAGUAAGAAUCCAAUUUUAAUAACGCGGCGGGCUUCAACAUAUUUAAAUUGCAAAGAAACACAUAACUAGUUUGGACAAUGGUAUCUUUUCUGAAGGGAAAGUGCAUCUAGUUGGAUGCGUUAAACAGGUUGUCAAACCCGUUCCCAUUUGCAACGAGGAGAGACAAACUUCUUUGAAAAAAGAGUAUGCAAUUAACAAAAAGCAUCAGUGACUGUUAUUAAAAUUCUUCAACCAUCGACAGUGGACAUAAUAAUUGUGGAAGACUUUUAAACUAGGUAUAUUCCGAUAGGUACCCAUUUCCUUUAAUUUGUGUACUUAUUUUACCUAUGUUUCCCCCCACCACCCAUUAGAAAGUAAUUAGUUAGUUUAUUUAACCAAAGAAAAUUGUACCUACUCAUUGUGUUUUUGUGAAUAAAAUUAUUUUGUCAGUGACUAUAAUUUAAGAAAACUUUAUUUUUAAAUUUUAUAAUAAAAAAGAAAGUUAGGUGCCUAUUUAAAAUCUUAAUGAACUAUACCACCAUGCCUUUCGUAUUUGUCGUAUCAAUAGUUUAUAUGUAUUUUAAAAUUUAGAAAUAUAUGACUAAUGUAGUAAUGUGUUGUAAAUUAUUGUUAUACCUGCAGAUGUUAUUUGUACAUACUAUGUAAGAAAAAAAUAAAUCAUAAGAUAAUGUGAAAUUGAACUGUAGCCAUAUAUAAAACAAUUAAACAUUCAUGUCUAUGGACUUAAAACUAAUUAACUUCGACUUUUUAACUUAAUUUUUUCUGUGUUUGUUGACUUGAUCAAUUACAAUAUGAUUAGAGGGCGGAUUCUUAUGAUUUCACAUAUUUAUUGUGGUUGAUGGUAUGAUAUUGUGCUAAUAGUGACCGCAUAAUUUGUUUCAAGACAUUAACAAUUUAAACUGUGAAUAUUUUAGGCUGCAUAAUACGAAAAUUUACUAAACUUUUCCAUUUUAUUGACUUAUUUAAGAUUUUAAUUGCAUAUUUCUGUGUUUUUUUUUUUAGACAUUUUUGAAUUGUCUAAUAUUGACAUUUUUCUAUAUGAGAUAAAGAAAUCUAAUAUGCUUCAUGUCAUUGUGAUUCCAAAUAAAAGAAAUUUUUUAC